GGUGAGGGCUCCCCUAAUUGACAGGGAGGUGUGGCUGUCACUGUCAUGGGAGAACUGGGUUGCGGGGAAGGGGCUGGUAUUUGUCACUACCCGAGGGACCGCUGAGGAACAGGCUGCUGAGAGGCAUCUGUGGGGUCUGCCCAGGGCACCUAGGCCCGCCGGGGCCACUCUGCCCUUCCAGCCCAGACAAACCACACUGCAUCCCAGCUCGGUCACAUCCAGGUUGAGGUCAGCACACGCAUACAUAAACACACGUGCUUACAGGCAAGCACACGGAGCUCUGUCUGCGUCCCUGCUGUCUCACGACUGCUUUGCUUGUUUCCCUCCCGGCCUCCCCCGCCCUCCCCAUCAUGCGCGCUUUAUUCCCUUUAUGUCUCUUCUUCCUGCCAUUUUCUUUCUUUUGCCGAAACACCCAGCACAUGGCAGGUGCUCGUUACCUGCAUCCGGACACCUCAGCGUCUGCUCUCUGGCAGAAGAGAGAAGCCGGACGAGGGACCUGUGAGUGAGGCCAUCCUGUCCAUAUGGGGCACAGCUCUGGUCGCGGAGAGGGGAGCUCGUGCAGAGAGGGGCAUCAUAUACUUGGCCAGAGAUGGAGGCGCUAUCUUGGUUCUGUACUGGAACUUGCACGGGCAGGAACCUGGACGUGCUGGAGUGACACCUGGGUCACCAGAGACCAUUCAGCAGGCGGCACAUUCAUCACCUCUCCAGCUUACGCUGGGAUCGGGGAGCCCCUGGAGCUGGGGCAGAUAACCCCAAGAGUGGCUUCCACUCUGGAGCUCCCCUGUGGAAUCAGGUUGAAGCUGAAACCUGCAGUGACUUAUAUCCUUCCUUGGCAUCUUUCCCUUCCCUGUCCUACUUUUGCAUCUCCUUAUGGGUCUCCCCAAGAGCACUUCCUUAAUAAAUCACUUGUACAUACAACCUCAACUUGGUAUGGAUUUCUGAGGCGUCCAAACUAGGACAGUGAUGUGGCAAGUUUGGAGGUCCUAUUUCUCAAAGGCUUCCACCAGGAAACACAACCAUGGCACCAUCAAAUUAGACUGGAGCUACCUGCUGGGCACUCUGAACUCCUGAUGAAACUGAACGUGUGGAUGAGGAGUCACUACAGUGGCCCAGGUUAGCGAUUUUAAUCACCAAAGGUCCUUGGGCUCUGCUGCACAAUGGGGAAA